CAGCCUCUGUUUCCAUCGUGCCUUCUUUUCCUUUUUACAGUUGUACUUACAUUCCUGGCUCCUCGUCUUAAAAUGUAGAAUGUAAACCAACUCCCAGAGAAGUACUGGGAUUCUUCAUUGGAUCAAUAAGCAGAAUUGAAAGAAAAUCGUCAAAAAGAUGCCUGCACAGUCGGCAGAGCUCCCCGGUGGAGAGGAAACAAAUGUUCUUUAAUGAAUAAUGAGAAUGAAACUCAUUCCUAAAUCAGGCUGCCCUUGGUGUUCACAUGCAGAGUACAAAGGGCCUCAAAAACUUUGUUUAAAUGAAAGGAAUAUUUCGAGUAGUGCAUGAGGGGCACCCUUCAGGCGGCAAGACAAGUCACGCUCUCACUUUCAAUUAGAAGAUUUGCAGGAGCAUUGUGAGCUGAUCAAGGACAGAGAAGUUCCUGGCCUUUACAGAUCCUCGUUGGCAUACGGAUAUCUGCAGUCAUCGGUCACCUCUUGAUCCCAAUUCCUUCCUUUUCCCCUCCUCUUAACAUAAAAGGAGGCUGA
rnacentral:lncRNA from 10 species